UACGGAGGGUGCGAGCGUUGUCCGGAAUCACUGGGCGUAAAGGGCGCGUAGGCGGCCUGAUAAGUAGGGGGUGAAAUCCUGCGGCUUAACCGCAGGGCUGCCUUCUAAACUGUCAGGCUAGAGCACAGUAGAGGCAGGUGGAAUUCCCGGUGUAGCGGUGGAAUGCGUAGAGAUCGGGAAGAACAUCAGUGGCGAGGGCGGCCUGCUGGGCUGCUGCUGACGCUGAGGCGCGACAGCGUGGGGAGCAAGCAGG
rnacentral:rRNA from 1 species